AGACCAGGUGCUUGCUCCUGUGGACCUUAUUUUCUAAUGAAGGACACAAAGAACAAGACUAAAGAUAUAUCAGAGGUAUGAGAAAGUGGUCAUUGCUGCAAAGAACAACAAAAUAUUCACAACAGCUGAAUGCUGUCAUAGAUGGCCUGCCCAGGGGCAGUGGCCUGUAAGCCCCCCAAGGCAGCCUGUAGGAGCAGGUGCUGUUUCAGCUGAGACUUGGAUGAGUGGAUGGUGAUGUCCAAGGACACAUCUGGGGAAGAGAAUUCCAGGGAGAGGGAACUGCAAGUACAGAAGCUUGAGGACAGAUGGCACUGGCAAGGAAGAAAAAGUGAUGAUAAAACAGGGAUAUCC
rnacentral:lncRNA from 1 species